ensembl:lncRNA
CAGGCCGCCCCGUGCACGCCUGUGUGCGCCGCGUGUCCCACUUCUGGAGCCGCAGGUUUCUCCAUUGGAAGAUGGCGUGAGUCAGCAACAAGGCAGGAUUCUCAUGGGAACAGGGUUCCUUUGAUGGGGCAGGACUGUAUUGUAGCCUGUCAGGCUCCUCUGUCCAUGGGAUUCUUCAGGCAAGAAUACUGGAGUAGAUUGCUAUUUCCUUCUCCAAGGGAUCUUCCUGACCCAGGGAUGGAACCUGCACUUCCUACAUUGCUUGCAGAUUCUUUACCACUUGAGCCACCUGGGAAGCCCUUGUAUCCACAUACACACGGGCAGCCACACCACGCCGGGAUGUGCAAGGCAGAGAUGCAAUCAAGAGCUUUAAAAUAAAGCAGCGGUGGGCUCCCUGAAUUUGAUUAAAUCCCAACUUCCACCACAGUGUGUUCCACCUGCCUCUAGCCUUCCCGUCAUGAGGCAUGAACGCUGGAGGCCAAAUCCGAAACUCGUCCUCUAAAAACUUCAACAUUUUUCAGAUGAGCUGAUUCUGAAAAGUUAUUUACAUGAUGGUCUCCCUCUUUUAUGAAAAUAAAAACAAUAGAAACUCAG